AGANUUUGAUCAUGGCUCAGAACGAACGCUGGCGGCGUGGAUAAGGCAUGCAAGUCGAGCGCGAAAGUUCCUUCGGGAAUGAGUAGAGCGGCAAACGGGUGAGUAACACGUGGGUAAUUCGCCUCUGGGUGGGGAAUAACCUCGGGAAACCGGGGCUAAUACCGCAUGACGUCGGGCCUUCGCAUGGGGGCGCAACCAAAGGGGGGGACCGGAAACGGCCUCCCGCCGAGAGAGAAGCCCGCGCCUGAUUAGCUAGUUGGUGGGGUAACGGCCUACCAAGGCGAUGAUCAGUAGCCGGUCUGAGAGGAUGGCUGGCCACACUGGGAUUGAGAUACGGCCCAGACUCCUACGGGGGGCAGCAGUCUAGAAGCUUCGGCAAUGGGGGAAACCCUGACCGAGCGACGCCGCGUGCGGGACGAAGGUCUUCGGAUUGUAAACCGCUUUCGAUCGGGAUGAAAGGCAGGGGCGUUAACACCGUUCCUGUUAGACAGUACCGGGAGAAGAAGCCCCGGCUAACUCCGUGCCAGCAGCCGCGGUAAUACGGAGGGGGCAAGCGUUGUUCGGAUUUAUUGGGCGUAAAGCGCACGUAGGCGGUGCGGUAAGUCGGAUGUUAAAGACCCACGGCUCACCCGGGGGAAUGCGUCCGAUACUGCCGUGCUGGAGUGUGGAAGAGGAGAGUGGAAUUCCAGGUGUAGCGGUGAAAUGCGUAGAUAUCUGGAGGAACACCGGUGGCGAAAGCGGCUCUCUGGUCCACAACUGACGCUGAGGUGCGAAAGCGUGGGGAGCGAACGGGAUUAGAUACCCCGGUAGUCCACGCUGUAAACGUUGGAUACUAGUGUGGGAGGUUUCUACCCCUUCCGUGCCGCAGCUAACGCAUUAAGUAUCCCGCCU
rnacentral:rRNA from 1 species